AGCAUAUCAAUAAGCGGAGGAAAAGAAACCAACAGGGAUUGCCUCAGUAACGGCGAGUGAAGCGGCAAAAGCUCAAAUUUGAAAUCUAGCACCUUCGGUGUUCGAGUUGUAAUUUGAAGAUGGCAACCUUGGGUUUGGCUCUUGUCUAUGUUCCUUGGAACAGGACGUCAUAGAGGGUGAGAAUCCCGUCUGAUGAGAUGCCCAUUCCUUUGUAAGGUGCUAUCGAAGAGUCGAGUUGUUUGGGAAUGCAGCUCUAAGUGGGUGGUAAAUUCCAUCUAAAGCUAAAUAUUGGCGAGAGACCGAUAGCGAACAAGUACAGUGAUGGAAAGAUGAAAAGAACUUUGAAAAGAGAGUGAAAAAGUACGUGAAAUUGUUGAAAGGGAAGGGCAUUAGAUCAGACUUGGUGUUUUAUGAUUAUCUUCUCUUCUUGAGUUGUGCACUCGUAUUUCACUGGGCCAGCAUCGAUUCGGAUGGCAAGAUAAUGACAGUUGAAUGUGGCUUCAUUCGUGGAGUGUUAUAGCUUCUGUUGAUAUUGCCUGUCUGGAUCGAGGGCUGCGUCUUUGACUAGGAUGCUGGCGUAAUGAUCUAAUGCCGCC
rnacentral:rRNA from 1 species